rnacentral:rRNA from 1 species
AACGAACGCUGGCGGCAUGCCUAACACAUGCAAGUCGAACGAGACCUUCGGGUCUAGUGGCGCACGGGUGCGUAACGCGUGGGAACCUGCCCUUAGGUUCGGAAUAACUCCCCGAAAGGGGUGCUAAUACCGGAUAAUGUCUUCGGACCAAAGAUUUAUCGCCUUUGGAUGGGCCCGCGUUGGAUUAGCUAGUUGGUAGGGUAAAAGCCUACCAAGGCGACGAUCCAUAGCUGGUCUGAGAGGAUGAUCAGCCACACUGGGACUGAGACACGGCCCAAACUCCUACGGGAGGCAGCAGUGGGGAAUAUUGGACAAGGGGCGAAAGACGGAUCCAGCAAUGCCGCGUGAGUGAUGAAGGACUUAGGGUUGUAAAGCUAUUUUACCCGGGAUGAUAAUGACAGUACCGGGAGAAUAAGCUCCGGCUAACUCCGUG